CGAAAGUUAGAGGCUCGAAGACGAUCAGAUACCGUCCUAGUUCUAACCAUAAACGAUGCCAGCCAGCGAUCCGGCUGUGUUCCUCAAAUGACACGCCGGGCAGCUUCCGGGAAACCAAAGCUUUUGGGUUCCGGGGGAAGUAUGGUUGCAAAGCUCGAACUUAAAGGAAUUGACGGAAGGGCACCACCAGGUGUGGAGCCUGCGGCUUAAUUUGACUCAACACGGGGAAACUCACCCGGCCCGGACACAGGAAGGAUUGACAGAUUGAGAGCUCUUUCUUGAUUCUGUGGGUGGUGGUGCAUGGCCGCUCUUAGUUGGUGGAGCGAUUUGUCUGGUUAAUUCCGUUAACGAACGAGACUCUAGCCUACUAAAUAGACGUUCCGAUCCUCCGAGUCGGACGUUCUUCUUAGAGGGACGGGCGGCGUUUAGCCGCACGAAACAGAGCAAUAGCAGGUCUGUGAUGCCCUUUGAUGUCCGGGGCCGCACGCGCGCUACAUUGAAGGAACCAGCGUGUGCUUUCCCUGUCCGACAGGACUGGGUAACCCGUUGAACCUCCUUCGUGCUGGGGAUAGCAAAUUGUAAUUAUUUUGCUUGAACGAGGAACACCCAGUAAGCACGAGUCAUCAGCUCGUGUUGACUAUGUCCCUGGCCUUUGUUCACACCGCCCGUCGCUACUACCGAUUGAAUGAUUUAGUGAGGUCUUCGGACUGGCGCUCGGAUUGGCUCUCGGGUCGAGCCGACGUGCUGGAAAGAUGACCAAACUUGACCAUUUAGAGGAAGUAAAAGUCGUAACAAGG
rnacentral:rRNA from 1 species